rnacentral:misc_RNA from 1 species
GGGGAGAAGAGAUAAGGACGAAGGAAAGGAAUAUCCUCACACAGAUGACAUAAUCUAAAGUAAUUAAUGAAGGAACAUUGCAAACAAAAACUGACUCCGGUUAUGAUCAGAUGAAGACACUGAAGGAAGCUUCUAUGAGAGAUAGAUUAAGUGCCCUAACCCCUAACGAUAGAGGAAUAUUUCAGUAUGCUAAUGAACAAGACUGUAUUUUUAUAUUUCAAUUUCGUCCAAGCAGGCCAAACAGGAUCCAAAAUACAAAACCC